AAAAAUAUUUAUCGCAAAACUAAAUAUACUUCUACACAAUGGGAUGGCAAGAUAUUUAUAAUUAUUACAUACUAGAAUUAUCAAAGCCACUAACUCGCAAUUGGCUGUUUAUAAGUUCACCUUUCGAAGUUAUAUUUAUAACUCUUGCUUACUUGUAUUUCGUUCUUCGUUUUGGUCCUCGUUACAUGAAAAAUAAGCCACCAUAUAAGCUGAAAACCUUUAUAUUGGUCUACAAUAUAAUUCAAAUAUUGGCAAACAUUUGGGUAGUAAAGGAACACAUAUCUAGUGGUUGGUUUUCGAAAUAUACUUUUUUAUGUUUUAUACCACAUCCAACUUCGCCUAGUGCGAUUAGACUCUUCAAUAUGAUGUGGUGGUUUCUACUAUUGAAAUUUUUUGAUUAUUUUGAAACCUGUAUAUUUGUGUUAAGGAAAAAACAGAAUCAGGUUUCCAGUUUGCACGUAUACCAUCACGUGUCAAACGUAGCUUUCGCCUGGUAUUUUUUAAAAUAUAUGUUAGACGAAAGAGCAACAUUUAUUACCUUGAUUAAUUGUUCCGUGCAUGUAAUUAUGUAUAUUUAUUAUUUUCUGGCUGCGUGGAGUUCAAAUCUUCAAAAAAAGUCUCCUGCCUAUUAAACCAUAUGUAACAAGGAUACAAUUGAUGCAAUUCUUUGCAAUAUUAUUAUUGUGCACGCAAGUUUUAUCGUCCUCCUGUGAAGCAAGAGAAAAUCAACAGAUAAUUAUUAUUUUUAAUAUAAAUAUAUUGAUAUUUAUUUAUUUAUUCUAUAAUUUUUA
rnacentral:lncRNA from 1 species